rnacentral:rRNA from 1 species
UACGAAGGGGGCUAGCGUUGUUCGGAAUUACUGGGCGUAAAGGGCACGUAGGCGGACUCUUAAGUCAGGGGUGAAAUCCCGGGGCUCAACCUCGGAACUGCCUUUGAUACUGUGAGUCUCGAGACCGGAAGAGGUGAGUGGAAUUCCUAGUGUAGAGGUGAAAUUCGUAGAUAUUAGGAAGAACACCAGUGGCGAAGGCGGCUCACUGGGCCCGUUCUGACGCUGAGGCGCGAAAGCGUGGGGAGCAAACAGG